rnacentral:rRNA from 1 species
GACGAACCGAGCGAACGUUAUUCGGAAUCACUGGGCUUAAAGGGCGCGUAGGCGGGCCGUCAAGUCGAGGGUGAAAUCCCCCAGCUCAACUGGGGAAGUGCCUCCGAUACUGGCGGCCUCGAGGGGAUAGGGGCAUGCGGAACUUCCGGUGGAGCGGUGAAAUGCGUAGAUAUCGGGAGGAACACCUGUGGCGAAGGCGGCUUUCUGGGCCUUACCUGACGCUGAGACGCGAAAGCGUGGGG